CAUAAAUCAACAUAAAUAUAACAUAUGCACAAGUAAAAGUAAAGUCACUAGAUUUCAUAUCGUUGAAAUUUUAUACAUAUGUAUAUGCAAGAGCUAAUUUUAGCCAUUUUAUAGGACAUUACUGUGACAUUGUUCUAGAAUAUCAUCCGAUAAUUUAUAUACUUAUUAUAAUCUAUGAUUCUCUGAUUAAACCAGUCUGAUAUUCUUUGACAACCGGGUAUUCAGUUUUCGCUCACCAAGUUAUUCCAUUGUGCAGGAGAAUAUAAUAAUAAAAAGUACGGGUGGCACCCGAUGGACUACGUCCCCAAUUGGCCAAUUCAAAAUAGGACUCUCUGAUUGGUUAAUCGUUGCUGGUUACCCUAGGCACAGGUCGAUAUAAUUGGCUGUGGUCAAUCGCAACGUGGUCAAACGGGACGCUCCCAAAAGGUUUAACAAUAUUCCAGAAGAAAAAAAAUACUAUAAAUAGUGGAGUCAGAAGAUGGAAUCAGAAAAAGUAAAUGAUCUCACUCAAGAAUAUGAAUAUGAAUAUAAUGAA